rnacentral:misc_RNA from 1 species
GAUGAAGAACGCAGCGAAAUGCGAUAAGUAAUGUGAAUUGCAGAAUUCAGUGAAUCAUCGAAUCUUUGAACGCACAUUGCGCCCCUUGGUAUUCCGAGGGGCAUGCCUGUUCGAGCGUCAUUAUAACCCUCAAGCUCAGCUUGGUGUUGGGGCCUGCUGCACUGGCAGCCCUUAAAAUCAGUGGCGGCGCCAUCUGGCUCUAAGCGUAGUAAUUCUUCUCGCUAUGGAGUCCUGGUGGAUGGUUGCCAUCAACCCCCAAUUUUUCUAUGGUUGACCUCGGAUCAGGUAGGGAUACCCGCUGAACUUAAGCAUAUCAAUAAGCGGAGGA